UCAGAACGAACGCUGGCGGCAGGCUUAACACAUGCAAGUCGAGCGCGUGAGCAAUCACGAGCGGCAGACGGGUGAGUAACGCGUGGGAAUCUACCCAUCUCUACGGAAUAACUCAGGGAAACUUGUGCUAAUACCGUAUACGCCCUUWKGGGGAAAGAUUUAUCGGAGAUGGAUGAGCCCGCGUUGGAUUAGCUAGUUGGUGGGGUAAAGGCCUACCAAGGCGACGAUCCAUAGCUGGUCUGAGAGGAUGAUCAGCCACAUUGGGACUGAGACACGGCCCAAACUCCUACGGGAGGCAGCAGUGGGGAAUAUUGGACAAUGGGCGCAAGCCUGAUCCAGCCAUGCCGCGUGAGUGAUGAAGGCCUUAGGGUUGUAAAGCUCUUUCACCGGAGAAGAUAAUGACGGUUC
rnacentral:rRNA from 1 species